rnacentral:rRNA from 1 species
ACGAACGCUGGCGGCGUGGAUAAGACAUGCAAGUCGAACGGGAGAAUUGCUAGCUUGCUAAUAAUUCUCUAGUGGCGCACGGGUGAGUAACACGUGAGUAACCUGCCUCUUAGUGGGGGAUAGCCCUGGGAAACCGGGAUUAAUACCGCAUACGAUUGAAAGAUCAAAGCAGCAAUGCGCUAGGAGAUGGGCUCGCGGCCUAUUAGUUAGUUGGUGAGGUAACGGCUCACCAAGGCGAUGACGGGUAGCCGGUCUGAGAGGAUGUCCGGCCACACUGGAACUGAGACACGGUCCAGACACCUACGGGUGGCAGCAGUCGAGAAUCAUUCACAAUGGGGGCAACCCUGAUGGUGCGACGCCGCGUGGGGGAAUGAAGGUCUUCGGAUUGUAAACCCCUGUCAUGUGGGAGCAAAUUAAAAAGAUAGUACCACAAGAGGAAGAGACGGCUAACUCUGUGCCAGCAGCCGCGGUAAUACAGAGGUCUCAAGCGUUGUUGGGAAUCACUGGGCGUAAAGCGUGCGUAGGCUGUUUCGUAAGUCGUGUGUGAAAGGCAGGGGCUCAACCCCUGGAUUGCACAUGAUACUGCGAGACUAGAGUAAUGGAGGGGGAACCGGAAUUCUCGGUGUAGCAGUGAAAUGCGUAGAUAUCGAGAGGAACACUCGUGGCGAAGGCGGGUUCCUGGACAUUAACUGACGCUGAGGCACGAAGGCCAGGGGAGCGAAAGGGAUUAGAUACCCCUGUAGUCCUGGCAGUAAACGGUGCACGCUUGGUGUGCGGGGAAUCGACCCCCUGCGUGCCGGAGCUAACGCGUUAAGCGUGCCGCCUGGGGAGUACGGUCGCAAGAUUAAAACUCAAAGAAAUUGACGGGGACCCGCACAAGCGGUGGAGUAUGUGGCUUAAUUCGAUGCAACGCGAAGAACCUUACCUGGGCUUGACAUGUAAUGAACAACAUGUGAAAGCAUGCGACUCUUCGGAGGCGUUACACAGGUGCUGCAUGGCCGUCGUCAGCUCGUGUCGUGAGAUGUUUGGUUAAGUCCAGCAACGAGCGCAACCCCUGUUGCCAGUUACCAGCACGUCAAGGUGGGGACUCUGGCGAGACUGCCCAGAUCAACUGGGAGGAAGGUGGGGACGACGUCAGGUCAGUAUGGCCCUUAUGCCCAGGGCUGCACACGUACUACAAUGCCCAGUACAGAGGGGGCCGAAGCCGCGAGGCGGAGGAAAUCCUGAAAACUGGGCCCAGUUCGGACUGUAGGCUGCAACCCGCCUACACGAAGCCGGAAUCGCUAGUAAUGGCGCAUCAGCUACGGCGCCGUGAAUACGUUCCCGGGUCUUGUACACACCGCCCGUCACAUCAUGGAAGCCGGUCGCACCCGAAGUAUCUGAAGCCAACCGCAAGGAGGCAGGGUCCUAAGGUGAGACUGGUAACUGGGAUG